rnacentral:rRNA from 1 species
AACGAACGCUGGCGGUAUGCUUUACACAUGCAAGUCGAACGAAUUGUUGGUAGCUUGCUAUCAACAGUUAGUGGCAAACGGGUGAGUAACGCGUGGGAAUCUGCCCUAUAGUACGGAAUAGCCGUUGGAAACGACGAUUAAUACCGUAUAUCUUCCGAGGAAGAAAGACUUGUCGCUAUAGGAUGAGCCCACGUUAGAUUAGUUUGUUGGUAGGGUAAUGGCCUACCAAGACUACGAUCUAUAGCUGGUUUGAGAGGAUGAUCAGCCACACUGGAACUGAGAUACGGUCCAGACUUCUACGGAAGGCAGCAGUGAGGAAUAUUGGACAAUGGGCGAAAGCCUGAUCCAGCAAUACCGCGUGAGUGAUGAAGGCUUUAGGGUUGUAAAGUACUUUCAGUUGUGAGGAAGGGGGUAGCGUUAAUAGCGCUAUCUCUUGACGUUAGCAACAGAAGAAGCACCGGUAACUCCGUGCCAGCAGCCGCGGUAAU